CCCUCCUUUGUUCGGGAAUUAACCUGACCGCGGGGCCGGGAAGCGGCACGACUUCGGUUUGGGAAAGCGGGGCGGAGGGGGCUCUCCUGGCCCCCGUCGGGGCAGGCGGCGCCCGGGGAGGCGCCCGGAGCAGCGGGGACGGCGCUGCUGUCGCUCUGCGGCGGCUCGCAGCGAAAUUUCGUUGAAGGCGCUAUUUCCGCGCCGGGUGGGAACUUUCGGCGUUAAUUAGCCAUGUUGCUCCUACGAGCCGGUCCUGCUCCUCUCUGCUCAUCCGUUCCCAGGGAGAGAAAACAGUGUGUGCAGGGCUACAGCGCAGCGAGACAAAAUAAUCAGCUUUAAAAUUCUGAUCUUGGGCUUAAAUUUGGGCGAUGUGGCAACAGCUGGAAAUGGAGCCGUUCUGGUCGCGGGAGGAGAGAGGAGAUCUCCAACGAGCUAACAAAAGCGAGGAAACCGCACUUCCCACGGACAUCCAGGAAGCGACUGGGCUCCGUCCCUUCCAGGAGAAACCGCGGUCCGUUUUGAAGCGAGGGGUCAGGGCUUUGGACCCCUUUGGGGCGCAGGGUGAAGAAGACGUGCAAUGAUUUGGAAGCAAUGGUUCCUUCUGGUGCUUUGCAGAGUGAAGAGGUCCCACAGGCAGGCUGAGGCGUAUUCACAUCCAGCACCCCAACGCGACCUGCCAGGGCUGAGAGCCAUUUCCAAGACAUGCCACAGUACAACAGGGAUAUUCUACAGCAUGGCACUUUACCUGCACACCCAGCCCUGCAGCCAAAUCCCACAGCCCUCUCCAGACAGCAGCCCCGCAUUCCUGAGCUAGACAGAUGAUGAAAAAGUUCCAGUUCCCGUCUAAUGAAAGGCCUCCAUCUCCCUUCCCCCAGAGGUUUCCGAAGCACAUAUAAUUAGCUCUCAAUAUUUCAUGAAUAUGGGGUUUUACUAAUUCCUUUUCACUCAGGAGAUUUUGCAUUCGCGGUUUUCUGUCAUUUUGCAGAAAGCCUUGGCGGUGGGAAGGGUGGUUAUGGUGUGGAGUGGCUCCUCCUAACCAGAUGCACAACAUCCCUGGGCUGCCUGAGGCCUCAGCCCAGGCAACCUGAGAGACAGAGGUCCUGAAUGAAGGACCACAGCCUUUUUCAUGCAGAAAAUCAGAUUUGCUGUGGGAUUUCAGCCCUUUGGGGCAAAGACAUCCUUGGAUAGGUAGUGUUCCAGGAGUAGAUCUUUGCUUCUGAAUUAUAGUGUAUUUUGGAGGGAAAUCAGUACUUUCUGACCAAAAAGAGUGACUAUCUUAGGAAAACCAGGAGGUAGAAGUAGAGUCGAAAGUCAUCAAGAAAUGCCCUACUAAAUCUUGAUAUCUUUUGCAACUUUCUGUAAUAAUGAGAGUGCCGAAUCAUCUGAUUACUACUCAAUCGUGCUAGUAAGAACUUCUCUCCAUGCUCCCCUUGUGUGUAACCAAGGGCAAAACUACCCCUGCAUCAUCUUCAUUUGUGUUUUGUCUGGUUCGCUAAAAAGCAGCGCUGUAAAAGUUACCACAUUCAUAUUCCCAACGGAAAAAAUAUUGGGGUCUUAUCCGCCUUCCCCAGCAUCGGUCUGCAGCUGCCGGCACCCUCACGACGCAGGCGCUGAAGACGCCGUCGGCGCCGGAGGGCUGACGUGCAGCUGGGGUCUGCCUCCAAGCCGUCCUCGCCUCGCGGAUGCCCGUGCGGAGCUGCCUGGGUGCCACAGCGGGUCUGACCCCAUCACCCACGUGCAAUGUGGGGAGCCAGCACCCUCUUGCCUCUGUCUGCAAGCAGUUGUGCUGUGCCGAAAUCUGCUGGCUUCUGUUGGUCUUCGGAAACUGCAAGGAGGACCGUCAGCAGGUCGGACUCCGCGGGUCUGCCUGUACCGCAAUAGCCGUUCUUCCUGCAAUCACGUCAGUAGAUACCGACUACAUUAUUUUUCUUUUUUUUUUCAUCGUUUUUCAUGCCGUUCAAAUUGUAUGUGCCUCAAACACGGCGAUGUAACAAUAGUUUAGUCCCAGGGGAGUUUUCCUAAACACACUGCAAGAACAAAGUUUGGUCCUCCUGUCCCAGUGGAUUUAGACUAAUGGGGUUUUCACCGUAUCGCCUUAUUGCUAAACACUAGCGUUUAUAUUGAGGUGGAUGAGUUUCUGUAAAGGCACCCCACAGCCAGAAACAUCUCAUUAAAAAUCCCAUUAUCCCCAUAACUUUGGUUAUUAUUAAUUUAAAUGACUGCCUUGUGAUUUGUAAGAAGGAAAACAAAUCCUGGAACAAAUGAUACUUAGGAUCGUUGAGCCUGGUGGGCAAUGGGUUUUAUUUGGUACACGUUUUUAGCUGGAUGUUAAAGAGGUUUUCUAAUUUACAGUAACUGCUGUCUCUGUAUGUGGUCCAUUGAAAGAUAGCUUUGUUUUCUCCCAUUAAACUUUGUGAGUCACUAGUUACUGUG